CGCCCCCUAUACGUCAUCAUCAAGUAAACUUUGACCCGGAACCUCACAGUCAGCAGACACUUCCUGGGAGGGAGGGUCUGCUGCUGAUUGGGUGGAAUGUGUCUGCUGGCUGUGAGGUUCCGGGUCAAAGUUUACUCAAUGAUGACGUAUAGGGGGCG
rnacentral:miRNA from 1 species